rnacentral:rRNA from 1 species
GACUCGGUUGCAUCCGGGGCGACCCGACCUUUGGACGGGGGCUCCGGGGGGACACGUCAAACUGAUGCGUAACGUUGCAGUCUGAGUAAGACUUAAUUAAUAAAUUAAAACUUUUAACAACGGAUCUCUUGGUUCUGGCAUCGAUGAAGAACGCAGGGAAAUGCGAUAAGUAAUGUGAAUUGCAGAAUUCAGUGAAUCAUCGAAUCUUUGAACGCACAUUGCACCCCCUGGUAUUCCGGGGGGCAUGCCUGUUCGAGCGUCAUUUCACCACUCAAGCCUCGCUUGGUAUUGGGCAACGCGGUCCGCCGCGUGCCUCAAAUCGACCGGCUGGGUCUUCUGUCCCCUAAGCGUUGUGGAAACUAUUCGCUAAAGGGUGUUCGGGAGGCUACGCCGUAAAACAACCCCAUUUCUAAGGUUGACCUCGGAUCAGGUAGGGAUACCCGCUGAACUUAAGCAUAUCAAUAAGCGGAGGA